CGGCUUCACCAUUCUGCCCUAACUCGGUCCUCUUCUGAUUCGGGUACAGAAAAAGAGGGCUAUUUUUCCAUAUCCAAUUCAAGUGAGCUUUCUUACCUCGAUUUUCAUCCCUUUCCAGAAUUAAGAAUUUCCUUAUUUUUUUCAUGAUUUUAUUUAUGACUGCAUUUGCAUGUUUUGGAACUCGAUUAGCUUGUUUCAGUUCAAUAGUAAGUGUAAUUGGGUGAGUUAAGUGAAAUUGAUAAUUUUGGGGGGUUUCCUUUUGCUUUUUUAGGUGUUGGAAUCAGAUGAAAGUCUAUUUUGGAACGUUUUGAUUUUUUUGGGUGUUUAGUUAUAGUUUCAGGAGAUGACUUCUAAUAUGGAGAUGGUAUCCGUGACUCGGCAGAAGCAAGAUCCUGCUUGGAAGCAUGGCGAAAUGCUUAGGAAUGGCGGGAAGGUCGAAAUUAAGGGAGGAGGAAUACAUAGGUUUAAAGAACAUCUCGCCUGCCAGAAAGGCAAUGGCGGUACUUGCUCAAGUGUUCAUCCUGAUGUACGCCUCCAAAUGAUCGAGAUUCUGAGUAGAACCAAGAAAAGACCCAGACUUGCUAAGGAUAAGCCUGCUUGUGAUAGUCCUGGGAACAGCAGGUCAGCGGUAGCUAACAAUAGUGAUGGGGACGUUCAUGAUAAUCGGCGCAGUUGAAUUAGCUAAUAAUAGUAAUCAUAAUACGGCUGCGUGCUGGGAUAGAGAGGAUGGUAUGAGCUGGGAUAGAGAGGAUGGUAUGAGCGGGAAAACAAAUAUUAAGAAGAAGAGAGAAACGGUGGUGACAAAAGCCCUUGAUGUUGUUAACUCCAACACUGCUGUUUUUCCUGCUCUGAAUUUGAAAAAGAAAGUUAGUAUAGUUGAUAUGGCUGUAGGCCGUUUUUCUUUGAUGUUGGAUUACCCGGAGAUGCUGUUAAUUCUGCCUAUUUUCAACCAAUGCUUGAUGCAAUAGCUUCUCAAGGCACCGGAGUUGUUGGCCCGCCCUAACACGACCUAAGGAGCUGUAUUUUGAAGAAUGCAGUUCAUGAAGUGAGAUAUGAUGUUGAUCAAUUCACAGCGGCUUUGGGAAAGAAUGGUUGGUCAAUUUUAGUCUACGAUUCGAGUUCAGAAAAGUGUAAAACCUGUGUCAACCUUUUUGCAUCUUCUCCAGAAGGUACCAUCUUUUUGAGGUCAGCCGAUAUAUCAUGUGCCAUAGAUUCUGCAGAUGCCCUUUAUGAAUUGUUAAAAGAAACUGUUGAAGAAAUCGGUCAAAGAAAUGUUGUGCAAGUGGUGACAACUGGUGAAGAGCGGAAUGCUAUUGCUGGGAGAAGGCUUGCCAAAACAUACCCAAGUAUUUUUUGGACUCCUUGUGCUGGUUAUUGCAUUGAUUUGAUGCUUCAGGACAUAGGAGAAUUACCCAUGGUGAAGAUGAUACUUGACCAGGCUAAAUCCAUGUCGAGGUAUAUCUAUUCAAAUGCUACUACUAUAAAUAUGAUAAGACGAUACACAUCUGGAGUGGAUUUAGUUGAUCUGGGAACUACUCGCUCAUCCAGUGAUUUUAUGACACUGAAAAGGAUGGUUAAUGUCAGACCUAAUUUGCAGUCCAUGGUUACUUCUGAGGAGUGGAUGGAAAGCUCUUACUCAAAGAAAGAAGAAGGUUACGCAUUGCUAGACUCUAUCUGUGAUCAAUCAUUCUGGUCCACGUGUGCCUCAAUAACACGUCUUAUAGACCCAAUGUUGCAUCUAUUAAGGAUAGUAAGUAGUCAAAAGAUGCCCUCUAUGGGAUCUAUAUAUGCAGGGUUGUAUCGAGUCAAAGAUGCAAUUAAGAAGGAGCUUGUUACCAGGGAACAAUACUUAGUUUAUUGGAGUAUCAUUGAUCACAGGUGGGAACAACUUCAGCGGCACCCCCUUCACGCGGCUAGUUUUUAUUUGAAUCCUAGACAUUUUUACAGUCUUGAAAGAGAUGGGUAUCUUCAUAUUCAAUCAUUAGUAUAUGAUUGCAUAGAGAAACUGGUUCCUGAACCAAAUAUCCAAGAUAAAAUUAUGAGGGAAACAACCUCUUACCAUAGUGCUACUGGAGACUUUGGGCGGAAGUUGGCCAUCAGAGCAAGGGACACUAUUCUUCCCAGUGAGUCUUCUUUCUGAUGUACACAUAUUACUUUUGUGUAAUGCUUUUCUGCUGCUGCUAAAUUAACUAAUUGCAUAUUAUUAUUCAGCUUUUCACUGCUUACCAUGAUUAGCUUGUCGAUAGAAAUAAUAAGUGAUAGCAGAUUAGCAGUGCAAUGUAGCAAUGCAUUCAUGGAGAAUUAGCUGCAGUUUUACAUACAUUUGCUAGUAUAGUAAAAUUAGCUAAUGACCUAAUUGCAGGAAUAUGUUUUAGCCUGUACAUCAUGUCACUGUCUAACCUACUUAUCCUGAUUAUUGCUUGAUAUUUUUUGCGCCCUGGAGUCAUCUUGUUCUUUCCUCAAUUUACUGUUUUUAGCUGAGUGGUGGCUAACGUAUGGUGGGGAAUGCCCUAAUUUGGCUCGCUUGGCUAUCCGCAUUCUCAGCCAAACUUGCUGCUUGAUCCAGUCAUCCAGCAUAAGGUAGAUAAAGUUUCUCUUGAACGAAUGCAUGAGGGGAAAAAUUGGCUGGAGCAUCAAAGGCUUAGUGAUCUUGUUUACGUUCAGAACAUGUCAUUGAAGCAUAUGAGUUCAGGCAAAAGACAAGAGAAAGCUUUUGAUCCCCUUUCUUAUGAGCACAUUAAUUUAGUUGAAGACUGGGUAAUGGGAAAUGAAUUUUGCUAAGAGGAUUCUGAAAAGAAUGGAUGGAUGGAUGUUGAGCCUCCUUAUGGUAAUGUUAUGGCAUCUGGCCCGCAAAUUAAUGAUGUUGAAGCCCAUGGGGCAGGAUUUGAUGAUUAUGAAAUCCUUUUUGGGGUGAAAGAUAGCGAAGAAGAAACUGGCUGUGAAAACAUACACAUAGGGAAUACUGGUGAUAAGACCAUAGUUCCAGGUGGUUCUGCAAGAUGGUGUUUGAAUUGAAGGAAGUUGAAUGGGGCCGACAGAAGUAGUCUGUAUAGCAUGGAAAGUUGGCUCAUGGCAACGCCCGGUACAUUGUGAUGCCGUGGAUGCAGACACCCAAUGUACCGUGGAUGCAGACAUUGAAGUUCACGAUCGGAAUCAUGGCAGAAUUGCAUAUGAAUAACAGGAACAUGUAUAUAUGUUUCUCUUCUUUCAACAUUAUGGGAGAUGUUAGAAUGUUUGCAAAUUAGUGUAUGCGAUAAUCUUUUAGGGAUUGCCUACUUUUCAUGAUGGACUAGGUACAUGAACGAAUAUUUUUAUUCUCAUACUAAUUUUUUUUUUCA